rnacentral:rRNA from 1 species
GUGGGGAAUAUUGGACAAUGGGCGAAAGCCUGAUCCAGCCAUGCCGCGUGUGUGAAGAAGGUCUUCGGAUUGUAAAGCACUUUAAGUUGGGAGGAAGGGCAGUAAGUUAAUACCUUGCUGUUUUGACGUUACCGACAGAAUAAGCACCGGCUAACUUCGUGCCAGCAGCCGCGGUAAUACGAAGGGUGCAAGCGUUAAUCGGAAUUACUGGGCGUAAAGCGCGCGUAGGUGGUUUUGUAAGUUGGAGGUGAAAUCCCCGGGCUCAACCUGGGAACUGCCUCCAAAACUGCAUGACUAGAGUACGGUAGAGGGUAGUGGAAUUUCCUGUGUAGCGGUGAAAUGCGUAGAUAUAGGAAGGAACACCAGUGGCGAAGGCGACUACCUGGACUGAUACUGUCACUGAGGUGCGAAAGCGUGGGGAGCAAACGGGAUUAGAAACCCGUGUAGUCC